UCCUACGGGAGGCAGCAGUAGGGAAUCUUCCGCAAUGGACGAAAGUCUGACGGAGCAACGCCGCGUGAGUGAUGAAGGCUUUCGGGUCGUAAAACUCUGUUGUUAGGGAAGAACAAGUGCUAGUUGAAUAAGCUGGCACCUUGACGGUACCUAACCAGAAAGCCACGGCUAACUACGUGCCAGCAGCCGCGGUAAUACGUAGGUGGCAAGCGUUAUCCGGAAUUAUUGGGCGUAAAGCGCGCGCAGGUGGUUUCUUAAGUCUGAUGUGAAAGCCCACGGCUCAACCGUGGAGGGUCAUUGGAAACUGGGAGACUUGAGUGCAGAGGAGGAAAGUGGAAUUCCAUGUGUAGCGGUGAAAUGCGUAGAGAUAUGGAGGAACACCAGUGGCGAAGGCGACUUUCUGGUCUGUAACUGACACUGAGGCGCGAAAGCGUGGGGAGCAAACAGGAUUAGAUACCCUGGUAGUCCACGCCGUAAACGAUGAGUGCUAAGUGUUAGAGGGUUUCCGCCCUUUAGUGCUGAAGUUAACGCAUUAAGCACUCCGCCUGGGGAGUACGGCCGCAAGGCUGAAACUCAAAGGAAUUGACGGA
rnacentral:rRNA from 1 species